UGCACGCCGGCAAGGUGGACACUGCCCCGACCGUGACAUCAGCCCUCUGCUCCCCUGACUUCCAUUCUCUGUUCCUUCUCCUCUUUCUCUUUGUUUCAUUUUCUUUUUUUCUGAAAUUGUCUCAAAUCGGUGAUGUUAAUAAGUGAUUAUAGAUUGUAGCAAUCAGCCGAAGAAGACCUCAGGCUGUAGAUUUAUUUUUGUGCUUUCUAAGAUACAUUGUCGUAGGAUUUGAGUAAUAAGAUGGGGCCAUGGAAUUUUUUCCUUUGUCGAUAUACUUGCUCACCCCCACGCCUGAAGUCGUUUUUUUUAUCUUAGCUAAUUUAGUCGCCUUGAAUUAUUUUAGUAGUUGACACCUAGAAACUAUAGUUGGUUCUUUUAAUAUAGUUGGUCAUAAGCUGAUAUAGUCACAUGCCUUAGCUAAUGUAGUUGCUCUUUUAAAUGCAAUUUUAUUUUUAGGUUAGUUUUUAGAACCUUAAUUAGUUGCUUAACUAUUUUAUUUUGUUGCUUCUUCUUGUCGAUAUACUUGCCCACCCCCAUGUUUGAAGUCGCUUUUUCUAACUUAGCUAAUUUAGUUGCUUUGAACUAUUUUAGUUACUCACACUACAAACUAUAGUUGCUUCUUUUAACAUAGUCGACAGUAAGCUAAUAUAGUUGCGUGACUUAGCUAAUGUAGUUGGGUUUUUUAAUGCAACUUUAUUUUUAGGUUAGUUUUUAGAACCUUAAUUAGUUGCUUAUCUAUAUUAUUUCCUCGUUUCUUCUCGUCGAUAUACUUGCCCACUCUAGCACCUGAAGUCGCCUUUUCUAACUUGGCUAAUUAAUGUUCUUUGAACUAUUUUAGUUGCUCACACUAGAGACUAUAGUUGACUAGAAAUUGCUUUAUCAUGGGAUAAGAGCUAUGUGAUCCAUAUGCAUUUUCCGCGAUUCGAAUGAUUAGCCCAAAAAUCCAUAUUAGGGAAAGCGUUUUUGGAAUUAGACUAGGUUAAUAUGACUGGAUUAGGAAGUGCUCCAGGGUUAGCAUGUAAAUUAACGUGUUCAUUUCGGUGGUAAAAGUGGAGUAUGCAAUUUUCUACCUAUAUCUAGAUUGCUAUUGACUGUGCUCAGUUUUUUAGAGGGGCAAAUUACUAUAUGUGUUGAUGUCAGUAAAUUCAGUAUACAUGAAUGGGAACUCUCGAUUCUCAGGACUUGUUGUUAGUACUGGCCCACCUGGGUGCAGUUUUGCUAACCAUAUAAGCAAUUUUCCCCUAUUACGUUUGUGCAGAAGUUG
rnacentral:lncRNA from 1 species